UGACCUCUCCCGCUCCUUGCCCAGGACUGACUCAGCAGAAUGCAGAAAAAGAAAAGUGGAAGUUCGUUACCACCAAAGUAAAGCUAUUGACCUUAACUUUCCAUUUUGGAUUGAAGAGAGAUCCAGUU
rnacentral:miRNA from 1 species